rnacentral:rRNA from 1 species
UACGUGAGGGGCUAGCGUUGUCCGGAAUCAUUGGGCGUAAAGCGCGCGUAGGCGGCCAGAUAAGUCCGGUGUGAAAGUCACAGGCUCAACCUGUGAAUGCCGCUGGAAACUGUCUGGCUAGAGUCCGGAAGGGGCGAGUGGAAUUCCUGGUGUAGCGGUGAAAUGCGCAGAUAUCAGGAGGAAUACCGGUGGCGAAGGCGGCAUCCUGGACCGACAUUGACGCUGAGGAGCGAAAGCUAGGGGAGCAAACGGG